rnacentral:rRNA from 1 species
ACUACGGGGGGCAGCAGUGGGGAAUAUUGCACAAUGGGGGAAACCCUGAUGCAGCAACGCCGCGUGAAGGAAGACGGUUUUCGGAUUGUAAACUUCUGUUCUUAGUGAAGAAUAAUGACGGUAGCUAAGGAGCAAGCCACGGCUAACUACGUGCCGGCAGCCGCGGUAAUACGUAGGUGGCAAGCGUUGUCCGGAAUUACUGGGUGGAAAGGGAGCGCAGGCGGGAAGCCAAGUCAGCUGUGAAAACUACGGGCUUAACUUGUAGACUGCAGUUGAAACUGGUUUUCUUGAGUGAAGUAGAGGUUGGCGGAAUUCCGAGUGUAGCGGUGAAAUGCGUAGAUAUUCGGAGGAACACCGGUGGCGAAGGCGGCCAACUGGGCUUUAACUGACGCUGAGGCUCGAAAGUGUGGGGAGCAAACAGGAUUAGAUACCCCAGUAGUC